AGGGAGCUUGCUCCUGGAUUCAGCGGCGGACGGGUGAGUAAUGCCUAGGAAUCUGCCUGGUAGUGGGGGAUAACGUCCGGAAACGGGCGCUAAUACCGCAUACGUCCUGAGGGAGAAAGUGGGGGAUCUUCGGACCUCACGCUAUCAGAUGAGCCUAGGUCGGAUUAGCUAGUUGGUGGGGUAAAGGCCUACCAAGGCGACGAUCCGUAACUGGUCUGAGAGGAUGAUCAGUCACACUGGAACUGAGACACGGUCCAGACUCCUACGGGAGGCAGCAGUGGGGAAUAUUGGACAAUGGGCGAAAGCCUGAUCCAGCCAUGCCGCGUGUGUGAAGAAGGUCUUCGGAUUGUAAAGCACUUUAAGUUGGGAGGAAGGGCAGUAAGUUAAUACCUUGCUGUUUUGACGUUACCAACAGAAUAAGCACCGGCUAACUUCGUGCCAGCAGCCGCGGUAAUACGAAGGGUGCAAGCGUUAAUCGGAAUUACUGGGCGUAAAGCGCGCGUAGGUGGUUCAGCAAGUUGGAUGUGAAAUCCCCGGGCUCAACCUGGGAACUGCAUCCAAAACUACUGAGCUAGAGUACGGUAGAGGGUGGUGGAAUUUCCUGUGUAGCGGUGAAAUGC
rnacentral:rRNA from 1 species